UACGUAGGGAGCAAGCGUUGUCCGGAAUCAUUGGGCGUAAAGCGCGCGUAGGCGGCCCUGUAAGUCCGUUGUGAAAGUCAAAGGCUCAACCUUUGAAAGCCGAUGGAUACUGCAGGGCUAGAGUCCGGAAGAGGCGAGUGGAAUUCCUGGUGUAGCGGUGGAAUGCGCAGAUAUCAGGAGGAACACCAAUAGCGAAGGCAAUCCCCUGGGCCUGCACUGACGCUCAUGCACGAAAGCGUGGGGAGCAAACAGG
rnacentral:rRNA from 1 species